UACGUAGGGAGCAAGCGUUGUCCGGAAUCAUUGGGCGUAAAGCGCGCGUAGGUGGCCCUGUAAGUCCGUUGUGAAAGUCAAAGGCUCAACCUUUGAAAGCCGAUGGAUACUGCAGGGCUAGAGUACGGAAGAGGCGAGUGGAAUUCCUGGUGUAGCGGUGGAAUGCGCAGAUAUCAGGAGGAACACCAAUAGCGAAGGCAGCUCGCUGGGACGUUACUGACACUGAGGAGCGGAAGCGUGGGGAGCAAACAGG
rnacentral:rRNA from 1 species